GAGCGCCGUAGCAAUACGGAGCGGCAGACGGGAGAGUAACACGUGGGAACGUGCCCUUUGGUCCGGAACAACCCAGGGAAACUUGGGCUAAUACCGGAUAAGUCCGUAAGGAGAAAGAUUUAUCGCCAAAGGAUCGGCCCGCGUCUGAUUAGCUAGUUGGUGAGGUAACGGCUCACCAAGGCGACGAUCAGUAACUGGUCUGAGAGGAUGAUCAGCCUCACUGGGACUGAGACACGGCCCAGACUCCUACGGGAGGCAGCAGUGGGGAAUAUUGGACAAUGGGCGCAAGCCUGAUCCAGCCAUGCCGCGUGGAUGAUGAAGGCCCUAGGGUUGUAAAGUCCUUUCGGCGGGGAAGAUAAUGACGGUACCCGCAGAAGAAGCCCCGGCUAACUUCGUGCCAGCAGCCGCGGUAAUACGAAGGGGGCUAGCGUUGCUCGGAAUCACUGGGCGUAAAGCGCACGUAGGCGGCUUUCUAAGUCAGAGGUGAAAUCCUGGAGCUCAACUCCAGAACUGCCUUUGAUACUGGAGAGCUUGAGUCCGGGAGAGGUGAGUGGAACUGCGAGUGUAGAGGUGAAAUUCGUAGAUAUUCGCAAGAACACCAGUGGCGAAGGCGGCUCACUGGCCCGGUACUGACGCUGAGGUGCGAAAGCUGGGGA
rnacentral:rRNA from 1 species